AUUUCCAAAGUUCAGCUUUUUUACACUUUUUUUUCAGCUGUUUUCAGCUAUUUUGAUCAGUGGUCACUCACACCCCUGACUACAAAAGCCAAAGGUUUUGCAGCGAAAUUUACUGCUCCUUCUGUAGUGGAUAACCCCAUCAAAGAGGAUGUAGCGAAUAGUCUGAACUUCCUUAUGAGGGAAAAGCUCGAGGAGAAAAGCCUCACCGACACAGCUGAAAAAUAUCAGUGUCCUAGUAACUGCGACGCUCUUACUGUACCAAAGGUUAAUCCUCAAAUAUGGGACAACAUAUCAGCUAAAACCCGCUCCAGGCAUUUGAAACUGCAGAGAGUGCAGAAGCCACUCAUCAAAGGGAUUACAGCCCUGGCUCAAUCUUGUACUGGCACACUGACUGCCGAACAGGAGGAUGGCUACGCAUUGCUGGCAUCAGCCAAUGUUGAACUUAACAGUUUGCGAAAAGAGCUCAUCCGACCUGACAUGAACCAAAAAUAUGCUCACUUAUGCAAGCCGUCCACAAAAGUGACCCAAUUGCUAUUUGGUGAUGACUUGGGGAAACAGCUAGGUUAAAGAACUCCAAGAGGAGCAGAAAGCCACACUUGGCGUGAUGCGCUUCACACGACAACAACGAGGGGGGGGGGGGGUUUCAACUCUACCAUCCCUACAGCACUGAAAACAGACGCUUUCAGGCUGCAGGCUAGAAAACCAGUGGCAGUGCCACGUGCCAGUGCCCCCUUUUUUUAGGGGGAAACCGUCAAACCGUUGCACCGUCGUCCAUUCGGACCUGCGGCUCACAAUCAGCGAAGGACCCGGUCAGUCCCGAACCUCAAACAUGUAAAGAAGACGUCCUAAGUGACAUAAGACCUACUGCAAUGGAGACUGUCCGGCGAUCCUUCGAAGGCAGAGGAAUUCAAGAGGCAGCUACCAACAUCAUCAUGUCAUCCUGGCGACAAUCCACCCAGAAACAGUACAGUGGGUACAUCAAACGCUGGAUUGACUUUUGCAGUAAGAGGGCGACAAAUCCUAUGCACAACAAAUUGCCGUCCACAUUGUUACAUAUUUAACUGAACUUUUUAAUGUUGGGCUUAGUUACAACUCGUUAAAUGUUGCACGUAGUGCUCUUUCAUCGUUCGUUGUUUUAGAGGGUUAUUCUGCUGUUGGAAAUCACCCCUUGAUCAGCCGUUUUCUUAAAGGUGCAUACACACAAAGGCCCCCUGCACCAAGAUACAGUUCAAUUUGGGAUGUUCCAGUUGUAUUUGACUAUCUGCGCCGACUGUCUCCAGCCGGCACACUGUCCCUCAAAGACCUGACCCUCAAGUUGGCAAUGCUGAUUGCCUUGGUGACAGCACAGAGAACACAGACUCUGCACAAACUGCGUCUGGACAUGAUGCAGCUUAAACACGACGUGGUUAUCUUCACCAUUGCCGACCUGUUAAAGCAAAGUCGCCCUGGCAAUACUGGACUGGUGGUCACCUUGAAAGCAUAUCCACCAGACAGGCGUUUGUGUGUUCACACCUACCUAAAACAGUAUCUUGCUCGGACUGAACACCUACGACGCAAGGAACAUACCACAGAGCAACAGCUUUUCAUCAGUUUCAAACUCCCCCAUGCUGCUGUUAGCAAGGACACCGUUGCUUGGUGGUUGAACACAGUGCUGCUCCAAGCAGGAGUCGAUACAUCACAAUUCAAGGCGCACUCGACACGAGCAGCGGCAACGUCAGCUGCUCAUAAAUUGGGAGUGCCAAUUUCAGACAUUUUGAAAACUGCAGGGUGGGCGACAGAAACCACCUUUCAAAAGUACUAUAACACUCCAAAAAUGGCACACAGCCUGCUUUCCAGUUACGAUCCAACUUAAGAGGAAAGUCAUGCAUUCGUGCUGGCUUGAAUACAGUCAUGAGUUUUAUUAACAGUUGUUUUUGAACAAGUUUGUUGUUUUUCUAAAAAUUUACAAAAGGGAGACCCCAAUGGUGAGCUGUUGUGCUCACAUUUUCAGAUAAUAUGGAGUUUUCAGGUAUUUGCCAAGUUUAUUAACAUAAGACACAUACAGUGUACAUGUAUGUCAAUUUGUCUUGCCUCUUGCCCAGGAUAGGCAAUAAAUAAUUGAGGAAUGUGUACCAACAUAGUGUUUCCCUGAACAUGAAGGUUUGAGUGCAGUGAAAUUAAAGAAGUAAAACAGCACUAUAACACAGCUUUGGUUUCAUUGCAGUUUUGUUUAUUACAUUUAUGUGUACACAUCAAGACCAUUCAUGUUAAACACCCUUUGUUUAUCAUUUAUGUGGGCAAGAUAUUUGACCAGAUGCUUUAAAGUCUCACGGAAUCUCUCGCGAGAUUUCGAAAUAAAAUGAAGGGAUUAAAUGAGAACUUACCCUUACUCCCACCCUUUUUCAAUAAACAGGAUCAGUUCUCUAUA
rnacentral:lncRNA from 1 species